rnacentral:rRNA from 1 species
AGUGAACGCUGGCGGUAGGCCUAACACAUGCAAGUCGAACGGCAGCACAGUAAGAGCUUGCUCUUACGGGUGGCGAGUGGCGGACGGGUGAGGAAUACAUCGGAAUCUACUUUUUAGUGGGGGAUAACGUAGGGAAACUUACGCUAAUACCGCAUACGACCUACGGGUGAAAGCAGGGGAUCUUCGGACCUUGCGCGAGUGAAUGAGCCGAUGUCGGAUUAGCUAGUUGGCGGGGUAAAGGCCCACCAAGGCGACGAUCCGUAGCUGGUCUGAGAGGAUGAUCAGCCACACUGGAACUGAGACACGGUCCAGACUCCUACGGGAGGCAGCAGUGGGGAAUAUUGGACAAUGGGCGCAAGCCUGAUCCAGCCAUACCGCGUGGGUGAAGAAGGCCUUCGGGUUGUAAAGCCCUUUUGUUGGAAAAGAAAAGCAGCAGGUUAAUACCCCGCUGUUCUGACGGUACCCAAAGAAUAAGCACCGGCUAACUUCGUG